rnacentral:rRNA from 1 species
GAUGAACGCUAGCUACAGGCUUAACACAUGCAAGUCGAGGGACCGGCGCACGGGUGAGUAACACGUAUCCAACCUGCCCUUUACUCGGUGAUAGCCUUUCGAAAGAAAGAUUAAUACCCGAUAUAACGGAUGGGGAUGCGUUCCAUUAGGUUGUUGGUGAGGUAACGGCUCACAAAGCAUUCGAUGGAUAGGGGUUCUGAGAGGAAGGUCGCCCACAUUGGAACUGAGACACGUUCCAAACUCCGACUGGAGGCAGCAGCGAGGAAUAUUGGUCAUUGUGCGCUAUCCUGACCCGGCCAAGUAGCGUGAAGGAUGAAGGCUUAUGGGUCGUAAACUUCUUGUAUAUAAGAAUAUGUAUUAGAUGAAUAAGGAUCGGCUAACUCCGUGCCAGCAGCCGCGGUAAUUC